rnacentral:misc_RNA from 1 species
GAAAAUAUGUAGUGCAAAUCACAUAUAUAGUGGAAACUUGAAAACUACCGUUGAAUCGAGAAAUGGACGUCCGAGAUUCGUCCACGUCAUCAUGAGUUAAAAUUUAACUCGCAGAUUCACUCAUGAGUUAAAAUUUUACUCGGAGUUAAAUUUUAACUCAUGAUGACGUAAACGAAUCUCGGACGUCCAUUUCUCGAUCCAAUGGUAGUUUUCAAGUUUUCACUACAUAUGUGGUUUGUACUGUAUAUUU